UGCUUCGUGGUCGAGUGAUAAAGACGCUUGUUUCUCACUCUGGAGUCUCGGGUUUGAACCCCGGUCAAGGAG